UACGUAGGGUGCGAGCGUUGUCCGGAAUUAUUGGGCGUAAAGAGCUUGUAGGUGGUUUGUCGCGUCUGCUGUGAAAAUCCGAGGCUCAACCUCGGACUUGCAGUGGGUACGGGCAGACUAGAGUGUGGGUAGGGGAGACUGGAAUUCCGUGGUGAUAGCGGUGGAAUGCGCAGAUAUCAGGAGGAACACCGAUGGCGGAAGGCAGGUCUCUGGGC
rnacentral:rRNA from 1 species